rnacentral:rRNA from 1 species
CCUACGGGAGGCAGCAGUGGGGAAUAUUGCACAAUGGGGGAAACCCUGAUGCAGCAACGCCGCGUGAGUGAAGAAGUAUCUCGGUAUGUAAAGCUCUAUCAGCGGGGAAGAAAAUGACGGUACCUGACUACGAAGCCCCGGCUAACUACGUGCCAGCAGCCGCGGUAAUACGUCGGGGGCAAGCGUUAGCCGGAUUUACUGGGUGUAACGGGAGCGUAGACGGUUUGGCAAGUCUGAAGUGAAAGCCCGGGGCUCAACCCCGGGACUGCUUCGGAAACUGUCAUGCUGGAGUGCUGGAGAGGGAAGUGGAAUUCCUAGUGUAGCGGUGAAAUGCGUAGAGAUCAGGAGGGACACCAGUGGCGAAGGCGGCUUCCUGGACAGUAACUGACGUUGAGGCUCGAAAGCGUGGGGAGCAAACAGGAUUAGAUACCCUGGUAGUC